rnacentral:lncRNA from 1 species
CUUUGUUGAGAUUUUAAUCAAGUUCUUGUCCACAUUGGGCCAAUAUCAGGCAGGCCCAGUUACUACAUUUUUCUGGCUUGGCCUAUUUUUGAAUUAACCAAAAUUUGCCUAUUCAUCAAGAUUAUACCAAUUGUUUGUUUAGUAAAAAUCAAUAGAGAUCAAACAGCAACACCAAUUAACGAUUAAACACAUAUUUAAGCAGGAAAUAAUAACAUGUUAUCUAUCAUAAUUUUUAAAAGAACAUUCACAAUUUGAAGUCAAUCUGCAGGGUUCAAUGCCCAGGCCUGUUUUCUUGGGCAUACUUGCUUAAAUAAGUCAUAAUGUUGGACCUCACUGCAAGUCUGGCCCAAUUCAUGCUAAACCGUAAAAUAAUAAUGUUCAUUAUGAAAACGUUCAACUGCCACAACACUAUACAUGAGCUAAACAAAAACUGAAUUUAAGAAUCAACAUAACAAUUUAUUUCUUCUACUUAAAGUCCAUAAAUUUACAUAACUUUCCUAAAUACAAUUAUAUAUCUAGAAAAAAUAUUAAGGCAAAAACUAACUUCCUUCCUAAUUUGGAGUCCAACUAUUACAAGAUCUUUCAAAGAAAAGACAACUUCAACAUGCAAGAACAAUAGUGUUGUUUUCUUGCAGGCUAGCAUUUGAAUUUCAUCUCUGAAACUUCUCACUGUUCAUCAGACUUUGUUCUAGCCUAGACUUUCAUAGAUAUGACCAUGUGAAAAGGUCUGACUCACAAAAAUGUCUUUAGAUACACAACCCUACUACAUCAUCAGACCAAAAUUCAGACAAAUAAUGCAGAAACAGUUGUGAUUCAUGGGUUUAACUAUGUUAAGGGCCAAACUCAUGAACUGACAAGGACUUGAAAUCCAAAGACAUGGUAUGCUUCCUUAGAGCAAUAACAAAAUGGACUAAAAGGGAAGGAAAUGGGAUAGUUUAUUCCGUAAAUCUGACCAUGUAAGGGUCAGACUAAAUGAACAAACCAAGUUUCAAUUAUGGGGAUCUAAACAUACUACCUGACCAAUGCAACAAGAGAAAUGCAUACUAGUUGAAAUAAUCAAAUGACCAAUAUUAAAGUCAUAUAAGGAAAAAAAUUCUCAUGAUAUAAAACCAAAUGGACAGACUCACAGAAAAAGCUUCAAUACUAUUGCAACUUCAACAUUAAAAUCAUAUAAAAAAGACAAAGAUAUACACCAUUGACAGGAAAGAACCAUUUGUAUUUAUCUUUAAACUUCAUCUACAAUCAUUUAAAUAUGGAAGAAAUAUGUACCUUGGAUAGCAACAGAAAAAUAACAAGUAGAGGAUGAAAGGAAAAUGGCUGAGAAACUUCAGAAGCCGGAAAACAACAGCAGUAAACUAACACACGACAACAGUCCCCAGAUAAACCAGAAUUUCGGACCCAAAACCAAACAACUUGAAAUCAAAAAUAUCAGCUAAAUAACCCAAGAAAGAUUCUCUACUUCAAAUCAUGUUUUUCAGCUUGUAAAAGUCAAGAAUGAGAAGUUUUGAAUGUUGUUCUAAAGUUUUCUGAAAUCUGUACUUUUUUAGUGACAAAGGAAAAUUUUAUAAUGCUCAAAAUCUAUGUUUCAGAACUUUUUAGCAGAGAAUAAGACUGAAUGUUGUGUGUGCUAGUAAGGAAAUAUUUUUCUUUUAUAGAGUGUACCAAAAAGCAUCAAAAAGGCAUAUUCUAACCUAUUUUUUCUAAAAAAAAAUCAAAAUAGUACAGCAUCUUUGACGGUUGUCUAUCCCUUUCCUUAUCCAAUAUCAGCAUUUAAGCUAAGGACAAUGAAAGUUGUGAAAAGUCUAGAAGGUUCUGAUUUUAGCCUAUGUGAAUAUCCAUUUUUUACCCCUUCAAUUACUGCCUAACUCAGUUUUGCCCUAUGUUCUAAUAAUUCAACUAAUUAGAAACCUUCAACUAAAUGAUUAAGUUGCUUAAUGACAUUGCAAUUCAUUAACCUAAAUUUAAAUAGCUGUUCAGAGGCUCAAUCUUAAGCUUAACAUCAAUUAAACCUAGGUAAUCCAAUCAUGUAGGCAAUCAAAUCUUAACUCAAAGGUUAUUGAAAUCUAGCAUACUUAGGCCAAGGGAACCACAAAUUAAAUUUAAGCUAUGUUCAGAAAAAUGAAAAUGGAUCCGGCUACAACUAAGAAAAGUAUGAAUUGGCUCAAAUAGACUAUUGAUUAACAUUUUAACACCAUCCUUAACAGAACUUGCAAGAACAACCAAAUAGACAAGACAAACAACAAGAAUUAAAAGUAAAAGGGGAAAUAGGGAUAGGUGAAUUAUAGGAAAACUAAACCUUAUCCUUUAAUCCAACGAUCUGGACCCAUGCAAAAUUGAAAUCCUAGAACAAACAAAUAAAGACGCUAAUAGAUAGAAAAGGAGACCUAAAUUAGGCAAAUGAAAUCAAGCAAUUAACGGAAAAUGGGAAAAUAAUCAAAACCAAAAGGAAAUCAAAGAACAAAAGAGGAAAUUAAAGAAUCAAGAACAAAAACGUUACAAGAAGGUACCUAAUGCUUAAUCUUCUAAUCACGGGAUCAACCUCGGACUUUGACCCAAGUUAUGGGGGGUACGAAUGAACUUUAGAGAACUAUAAAUUAAUUGGUCUUAUCAAGGGCAAUGAAUUCAUGGGAGUCUUGGGUUCAAAAACUCCAAAAAUUGCUGGAAAAUUGGAGGAUUAUGGUUCAAGAAACAUAAAUUUAAGAUUCGAGCAAAAGGAGAACGAUUUGGAAAUGGGCUAAUGGUGGUUUAAGGUUCGGGGGGUAGGGGUCAAGGAUUAUAGGGUAUUAAUUUGGGGCGAUUUGGAUGCUUAGGUUUUUUUUAUCAUGAAUCUCGGUUUUGAAAUUCGAGAUUCUUGUGAUGAUUUGAAAGAAACAAAUUGGAGAUUUGGAACGAGGAGGUGAUGGGGGUUCUUUGGUGUUAAAUUUGUGGUGUUGGGACACCGAAACCGCCAUAAGGCGAUUUUCGGUGGUUGUUUGAUGGCAGAGGCGCAGAGAAUAUGAAGGUGGCUAGAGUUUCUUACUUGAGGGUGUGAGGGAGAUGAAAUGGUCUGAUGUUAGGGGUUUGGAAGGGUUGACCG